rnacentral:misc_RNA from 1 species
GUAGGUGAACCUGCGGAAGGAUCAUUACAGAGAACUUGCCCUUCGGGGUAGAUCUCCCACCCUUUGUUUACCUUACCUUUGUUGCUUUGGCGGGCCCGUCUCACGACCACCGGCUCCGGCUGGUCAGCGCCCGCCAGAGGACCCCAAACUCUUGUUUUUAAUGCCGUCUGAGUACUAUACAAAUAGUUAAAACUUUCAACAACGGAUCUCUUGGUUCUGGCAUCGAUGAAGAACGCAGCAUCUGACUGAC